GAAGACCUCGCCGAGGAGGCCAAGAGAAUAAGUUUAUCUUCUUCGGCAGACUCACAGCAAGCUGUGACGCAGCGCAACGUCUAAAUAAAUCCUCGAUCAGUGAGCGAUUUCCUAUAUAUACCCGACGAGCUGAUCGCCAAAUCGAUGAUCCAGGUCCAGAACCGUCGAAGGAACAUCAUGAGAUCCAUCGAAGUCUAAAUUUCUGCGGAUAAUGGAGAGACACGGA
rnacentral:misc_RNA from 1 species